rnacentral:lncRNA from 1 species
GCUAAAUAUUUUUGCUAAUGUGUAUUUUUUAUGUCCAUUAUGUAUUUAGUACUUAAAGAUUAACUCCUCUCAUGUGAAACUAAAUUCAAUUGAUGACAAAUUCAUUAAAAGUUUCUGAAAAUUUGUUAGAAGAAAGUAAUUAUACUCCCAAUUUAAGUGAACAAAACUUUUAGUUAUAUUUAAAUUAGAAAUGGAAUGUUUCUAGUGAAGGUUAUUUAAUAGUUUUAGAUAACUAUUUUCUCUGGUUACCUCAAUCUCAAACUAAUUUCCCUCAAAAUGUUAAUAAGGAUUCACUGAAAAAAGUUCCGUGAUCAAAUAAAUUGGGGGAGACAGCAGGAUGAUGGGCGAAAAGAACCCUUCCUAUGAUCAGUGCUAAAAGAGCCUAGAUGAAUUGAAUUGUUUAAUUCCAUAUUCCCACUUGGUAGGAUCCCAAUCUCUGUUUCAAGGGAACUGACUCCAGCCUCCUCCUGGGCUUCACAAAGCAUAUUAGCAUAUUAACAAGCUCACAUUAGACCUGUGAGGUCCUGUGCUAAAGAAAUCUGUUUAAUAGUCACUUGGUCAUACUAUUUACAUUUUUAAUGGUGUGAUCAAGAGAGGUACCUAGGACCUUCUUCCCUUUGAAAAGAGGCGUUUUUCCUCCUUUGACUCUGCCCCUUUCUACCAAAGCCAAAUGAGUAGCAAAGGGGGUGUGGGAGCAGGGGUUGCCUGUCUCCGUCUUAGGCAGAAACCUUCAUUGCCUUGGGUCCAGGUAUUCUUACCCUUCUUGUUAUUAAGUGCCGUAUCUGUCUAUAGUGCUGGUAAUGGUUGAGGAUGCUCGAGAGUGCAUUAGAACAUCACAGGUGCUUUAGAAGAACAUAAUAGAACCUCUAAUUAUGUUUAUUUUUCAUCUUUUGGAUAUUUGUAUUUCUACAUGUGUUUCAUAAAGUAGUGUGUGUUUGUGAUAAAUGAACAUGUGUUAGGGCUACAUGCUCAAGUUUGUGUAUCAGUGAUCUAAAUGGCUAGGAAUAAGUUUUGAGCUUAUAAGGAAAUUGUUAAAGAGGGUGUUCAUUCAUUCAUUCAAAAAAAUACUUCUGGAGCAAAUACAGAAGGUCAAACCUACUAGGCACUGAAGACAUUGUAAUAAACAAGGGUCCCUACCUUCAUGGAGGUUUUAGGACUCAGGCCAGAGGGACAAAAGACAUUCUGGUACCUUAUGUGUAAUGGAUAUAGCUCAUCAGACAAGAACAUUGGGAUUUGGAGCAUACUUUUUACCUGGAGUAUCCGCUCUGUAUAUGUCCAUUUCCAAAUUGUGGUGGCAGCCAAUGACCUGUUAAGAAUUUGGGACUACUAUUUCCUGCUCAUCUCUUUCUUUCUGUAUCUUUCCUUAUUAAAGAUACGAUGCAUGAUAUGCUUGAUUCUAAUAUCUGUGAUUCUCAAAACAGUGUACUUUAGAAUUUGUCUAGCUAAGAGGUUCAUCGUUAUAUGAAUUGUCCAAUUGAUUGAUAUCAACUUGGGGUCAUGUGAUGGUGUGCUGGUUUGCUAGAGCUGCUGUAACCAAGUACCAAACCUGGAGUGGCUUAAACAACAGAAAUUUAUCGUCUUCCAGUUCUGGAGGCUAGACGUCCGCGAAGGUGUUGGCAGAUUUGGUUUCUUUGGAAGGCUCUGAGAAAGGAUCUGUACCAUCCUGCUCUCCUAGCUUCUGGUGGUUUGCUGGCAAUCUUUGUCAUUCCUUGGCUUGUAGAUGCAUCAUCCCGAUCUCCGUGUUUGUCUUCACACGGCAUUCUCUCUGUAUAUGUCUGUCUCUGUGUCAAAAUUUCCCCUUUUUAUAAGGACAUCAGUCAUAUUGGAUUAAGAUCUACCCUAAUGACCUUACAUUAACUUGAUCAUCUGCAAACACCCUAUUUCCCAAUAAGAUCACAUUUGUAGGUACUGGGGUUAGGACUUUAACAUCUUGUGGAGGGACACAAUUCAACUCAUAACAGAUGGUUAGAAUGUCCUGGCAGAUGGAAGGAUGGCUUGACAAAUGCCACCAUGAUGAUUUUAUACUACAAUAUUUUGUAUGUUAGUUUUAAUUAACCUGUCUUCUUUAAAGGGAUCAUUUUGUUAAAUAUAUAAUUCUAAUCUACUUAGAUAAAGAUUGGGUGUUGAUGUGAUUCCAAUUAAGAUUACGCAAUAUGUUGGCAUUCUAUCUGUUUGGUACUUGUAGUAAGACAAAUGGCUGAGCAGUGGCUGAGCUCACGCCUCCUAUGUAAUAACAUUCAUGGAGAAUGGAGUCUGAUCAUUGUGGGGAGGCACAUUUCCCAUCUGAUGCUGUUGGUGCAGACUACUGCAACCUUUUCUAGGUCCAGACAACUAGUUCUCAUAGCCUUAGAUCUUAUUCCUUGAGAUUUAUCUACCCCUUGGAGGAAUGCAGACUAAUUGCUUCUGCUUCCUUUACCCUGGCCUCUAAGUUGUCCCCAGACGUUCUGAGACUUUACAACAUGCUCAAAAAAAGGGAAAACAUAUACACAAAAUAGCAUGUAGUCUGAUAAUAUGGUUCUUAAAUGCUGCUGCCUGGGUUGGCUGCAACAGAAUCACCAAAGGGAAUGAAAAUACUGAUUCCCAGGCUCCACCCAUGGAAAUUCUGAUUCAGAGUGCCUGGGACUGGGCAUUAGAAAUACAUGGUUCAGAAACCAGUAAUUUAGGAGUUACAGCUUGCUUAUCUUCUCCUUCCCAUUUCGUUCUUCCCAUAACAGAAGCCAUCUGCCCUACUCUAUUUGGGGGUAGGUUCAUGCAUGCUGAGACUUCUAGAAGUCUAGAUUCUGGACUCCAAGUUGUAGAAAGAGCUGAGAAUCCGCAGGGUGACAGUGUGGUGUAAUAGUUUAGAUCCUGUACAAUGGAUUCUGCCACUGGCUAGGCUGGGUGACCUUGGGCUUAUCCUCUCUGGGUCUCAGUUUCUUCAUCUAUAAAAGUAGUGAGAGCUACCUCAUAAAUUUGUGAACUUUAAAUGAGUUCCUAUGUAUAAAGUACUUAUGAUAGUGCUUGGUACAUAGCGAUCUCUCAAUCAGUUUUGCUAGUACUAUCAUGAAUAUUUUCCUUCCCUUCUAAGAUUCAAUGUCUAAAUUCCAGUUUCCUGUCUGAGGAGCUACUACUUUCUGGGAGACUGACAACAGGAAUGACACAUUUGAGUCAAAGACCAGCCCUUGCCACAGGACAAGUUAAACCAUCUCUAUACUCCCUAUCUGGGAAUGUGUGGAAUUACCCUAAAGUAGUGACAAGAAAACCAUAUCAGAAUAUAGGAGGUCGUGAGUCUAUAAUCGGCAUAGGAGGUACAGUUGUGGAGGUUCCUCGUAGCUCCGGUGAUGGAGUCCUGGUUCGCUGUGCAGACCUGCAGUGAGACCCUGGAGACACCUGGGCAAGCGGUAGCCUCUUCCCUCUUACUUGUCCCCUGUUUGUCCAGUUAAUGGCAUUGGGCUGCUGGUUCUUGAGCUAUGUUCCAGUCUCAAGCUGGAUCUGGAGUCCUACCCUGAACCCUGCCCUCAUGGCUGUAAUUCAUGCCACCCACCCAGCCCUCAUGGAUCUUGCUUUCCAGGGUGACAGAUCCUAUCCUCGUCAUGCUGGCACUGGUUCCGAACCUGUUGGAAAAAUGUGGUCUUACUACACUCUAUGCAUUUGAUUAUCUGCCUGUUUCUUUGCAAGACUGUGAGGCCCUCACUGAUUCGUCUUUACAUCCUGACCACUUGACAGAGUACCUGGCAUUCAGUAGGUGCUCAAUAAAUGUUUGCUAAAUAAAUGAAAGACUUAAGUAACUUUUUUAUUAAACCACAUGAUGAAGGUAUCAAACAUUAAAAAUAAUAAGAAAGAUGGAAACUAAAGAAAUAGUCAAAUAAGGGGAGUGCCCAAAUAAGUUAUGACCAGAACCAUAUGACAGAAUUUUAUGAUGUAAAU